UACGGGGGGGGCAAGCGUUGUUCGGAAUUACUGGGCGUAAAGGGCGCGUAGGCGGCCAGCACAAGUCAGUUGUGAAAUCUCCGAGCUUAACUCGGAAAGGUCAACUGAUACUGUGCGGCUAGAGUGCGGAAGGGGCAACUGGAAUUCUUGGUGUAGCGGUGAAAUGCGUAGAUAUCAAGAGGAACACCUGCGGCGAAGGCGGGUUGCUGGGCCGACACGUGACGCUGAGGCGCGAAAGCCAGGGGAGCGAACGGG
rnacentral:rRNA from 1 species